GACAGAGGAGCCAAGCGUUGUCCGGAUUUACUGGGCGUAAAGAGCGCGCAGGCGGUCGUUCAAGUCGCGUGUGAAAGCCCCCGGCUCAACUGGGGAGGGUCACGCGAUACUGAUCGACUCGAAGGCAGGAGAGGGAAGUGGAAUUCCCGGUGUAGUGGUGAAAUGCGUAGAUAUCGGGAGGAACACCAGUGGCGAAGGCGACUUCCUGGCCUGUUCUUGACGCUGAGGCGCGAAAGCUAGGGGAGCAAACGGG
rnacentral:rRNA from 1 species